GGUAUAUCUGGAAAAGAUCAGUGAGGGUGCUACAGGCAUACUGGUGUUAUACUGAGAACUGGGAGACAAGAUGGCCUCUCCAAGCCUUAGAAGAAUUGCCACUUUUGCAGUCAAAUCCAAGUAACAUCUGCUCUAUGCAACCAGUCAAUAUUGUGGAAAAGUUCAAAGAAUGAAGAUCAUUAGUAGUGUCAGCUUUACAACCAGAAGGGUGACCACCCCAAGCACCAUGGUGAGAAGGACUCAGCAGAUUGGGUGAAAUUCAGGCCUCGCAGAAAUUUUGCCAUUGAAUUCUAUGGAUGCAGAGUCUCAGCUUUUGUCUUUCCACUGCAGCCUGAUGGGGAGAGGAAGGGCAGAAAGACAGACAUCUCUGAAGGAAAGAAAAGACAACUUUUAUCCUUUCCCCCCCCCUUUUGCAUGUAGAGUUACAAGAUUUGCAUGAUUGGCUGCAAUAGCUUCCAAAAAGGAACAGGAUCCUGUCUCUUGGUUUGCAAAUUUUGCCUGAAAUAGAACUUCUAAUACAUUUCAGCCUGCGGAAAAAGCUUCCAGGGCAAAAUGUCAUUUUCCUAUGUGGAAAAUACCCAAAUCUUGUGUUCGGCUUUGAACAAUUUGUGAAUUAUCAGUUUGUGAGUUCUCACAGAAAGGAGGGAAAGAAAAACAAAAUGAGAAUUUGGUAGAUUCAGGUUUUGUAUGCAACUAUUUGUAGCACUCUAGUGGUAAUACCAGAAUAGUUUCAGAGCUGUAAGAAAACAGUUGCUCUUUCUGGGUUCCAUUUUGUGAGCUUCUGUUCUGUCUCUUACGGACCUGACCGUUUCAGGGUAUGUUUUCUCAGAGAUAACUCAUAUGUACAAGUUCUAGCUGACAUCUGGGUUGAGAUGCACUGUAUUUUUUCACAGGAUUCAGUGGUGUGUAUGAGAUCAGAAGCAAGAUGGUGCCUGUAAUAGGACUGUUUGGAAACUGGAAUGUGGCUGAAGCAUCAUCUGGACUUUUCUUUGAGGUUGUCUAUCCAGUUAGAUGGAUUUAUAAUAGUUUUGCAACACUGAAAAGUGAAUGUUCUAUUCUUAUUGAGGAAAAAAAAAGUAUAAGAGGUAAUUUUAUUUGGUUUUCAAUCUUAUUUGCUCUAAUAAACCAAAAUAGUACCAUAAACAGUACCAAAGGAAAAUGACUAGAAGACCCCAAGAAAAUGAAAGGUAUUUGAAAGAUAUGUUGUGUUCUCUUUAAAGAGAGCUUAAAGGCAGCACAGAAAUACAGAGUUGACUUGGCACAUCCUGUAGUGUACAUCUACAUACACAUUAAAAUGCACUCGGUCUCAGAACAGGCUUUCUCCACUCCCUCUACCCUGCUCCCCUCCCCAUUCUGCGCUGCCUAACAAAAGAUUUUCAACAAAAGAAAUUCUUCCUGGUUUGUAAAACAGUUGUGUAAAACUUGGACUGUAAAGCCACAGUUGACUGCUUUAAUGUGGAACAGUUGGGAGGGUGGGGAAUCGCUGGCAGGUUGGGACAGGACACAGCAAUGGUGCCCCUAUUCUGUCGGGGGUCUACUUAGUCACACCACCUGCUCCCCCUAUUCUUUCAAAGGCGAACCAGUCAUGACAGUAUGAACAGACGGACGUUUAGCCUCAAUACCUUGGACACACAACACCAGACGGAGCAAGGGGAGUUAAGAAAAGAUAAAUUAAGUGAUCAAUAAAGAUAAGGGACCUGUUUAGCAGUAAAUGGUGGGGACAGAGCAGACAGAACAAGGGGUGAACGUGUGUUAAAUAAUGCAAGUGUGUGUUCAGCUAACCUCAAACUUUUCAAAUCCAUGGAUUGUUCCCCAAAAAGCCUUCUUUUCCCAGCAAUGGUUAAUUGUGUUUUAGGUAGAUGUAAAGCAUCUGUGGGCACACACGGGCUCCCCAAUAUAAGUCUCUUCAGAUUCAGCUAUGCUGUUUGGCACUUGGCUUGAGUGUGAGGAAGGGGAAGAGAAAGGGGGCUGUGUCCAGGGUUGAGUCAGUGACUUCUUUGCACCUCCCACUUUUGUGACAGCAGGGGAAGAACAGUAAGGAGCAAUGACAUUCUGAUAGAGAAUCAGUAACAGUGCUUUGACAAGCUGAUUGACAGUCAAGGGAUCCAAAACUGUGGACUUAUUUUAACUGGCUAUCACACUCUUUGUCUCAAGAGCACUCUUUUUGUUCUGCCCUUUUGCCUAGUACAGCAAAGGUCUUGAUUUCAGGUUCAAACUUCUAACUCAUCUGUAGUUUAAGAAGAAGAUCUAAAAAUCAACUUACAGUCACUUCACAUGACACUUGACCUGUUAGAAAAGAAGCUACUGAUACAAUCACACCCAGCCCAAAUGAGAGUUGUAUUUUAAUAUGAAUUUGAGUCCUGUUCUCCUCUAAUGCCCAAAAAAGGAGGUGUUUUUCUCUGUGAAAGAUUCAGGGUUGAUACAAUUAAACUCAUUACUGCGAUAUAAGUGACGGUGUUUCUUACCGUGCCACAACAACUCUGUGGUAGGAGCACACAAGGGAGCAGCUACUCUGUAUUUAGCAAGGGGGAACCCUGGAGUAAUCAUAGGCGUAGAGGAAGGUGAUA